rnacentral:rRNA from 1 species
UACGGGGGAGCAAGCGUUGUUCGGAUUUACUGGGCGUAAAGGGCGCGUAGGCGGUCAGCACAAGUCAGUUGUGAAAUCUCCGGGCUUAACUCGGAAAGGUCAACUGAUACUGUGCGACUAGAGUGGCAGAAGGGGCAACUGGAAUUCUCGGUGUAGCGGUGAAAUGCGUAGAUAUCGAGAGGAACACCUGCGGCGAAGGCCGGGUGCUGGGCUGACACUGACGCUGAUGCGCGA